AUGAAUCUUAAAUUUGGUUUUGAUCUUAACAGAUGAGAAAUAUUUAGUCUGUAAUACUGAACCUAACUUUUCAGAAGUCUGUACAUAAUGCUGCCCAUUUUUCCCUCCAUAUAAUUAACAUGAAGUGUCUCAUGGCUUUGAGUGCAAGGCCUUUUAAAAACAUUUGCAAACCUUAAGCAUACUGGAGGUAAACAUUAUGGUAGUUCAGUUACAGUCUAAACUGCUCUUUAGAAUUUUUUUCCUGAGAAACUUGCAGAAAAUUAGUCCAAAGAUAAAGAUUUCUGUUUUGCACUUUCCUAUGGUUAGAGAGGCAGUUGCAGUGGUCAAUGGCCCUCAGGCCUGUGGCAGGCCAUCCUGAAAAAUGACUCCACUGGCUACAGACAGGUCCUCCAUGUGAUUCUCAUGACCUUCACGACUGAGAACCACCCUGUGAAUUUACUGUAGGAGCAGCUGUGACACAAAGGUGGAGAAGCAUAGAACCUGGGGAGUCAUGGAGAAAGGGCCUUGUAGAAGUGGAGGUGCUUACAGUGGGUUCUGAAGGGGACCAGGGGACUGCCAGCAAACUGGAGAUGAGAGGACCUUCUGAGAGAAAGUAAUAGAGAUAGGUGGUCAUGCUGGAAAACAGGAAAGGUCAGUGAGGGUGCAUGAAAAGAUUGUUAAACUGUACCCAAGUCCCUGGGAUAGCCAUAUUGACUAAGAUCUAGUAAUUCACAGUUAAGAGCUUUUAUCCCUUAGCCUGAGAAAUCAGAAUUUGCACUUAAAUAAUAACAUAAUGUCUUCUUUUGAAUAAUUGAGAGAAUAAUAAAUCCAUAAUUUAUAAAG